GACGAACGCUGGCGGCGUGCUUAACACAUGCAAGUCGAACGGAAAGGCCCUGCUCUUGCGGGGUGCUCGAGUGGCGAACGGGUGAGUAACACGUGAGUAACCUGCCCUUGACUUUGGGAUAACUUCAGGAAACUGGGGCUAAUACCGGAUAGGAGCUCCUGCUGCAUGGUGGGGGUUGGAAAGUUUCGGCGGUUGGGGCUGGACUCGCAGCUUAUCAGCUUGUUGGUGAGGUAGUGGCUUACCAAGGCUUCGACGGAUAGCCGGCCUGAGAGGGUGACCGGCCCCAUGAAGACUACGCUAGGGCGCAGUCUGCUACGGUAGGCAACAGUGGGGAGUAUUGCACAGUAAGCGGAAGCCUGAUGCAACGGCGCCGCGUGCGGAAUGCCGGCCUUCGAGUGGUGAACCGAUUUCGCCUGUGACGAAGCGUGAGUGACGGUAAUGGAUAAAAAAGCACCGGCUAACUACGUG
rnacentral:rRNA from 1 species